AUUGAACGCUGGCGGCAGGCCUAACACAUGCAAGUCGAGCGAGCGGCGGACGGGUGAGUAAUGUAUGGGGACUGCCCGAUAGAGGGGGAUAACUACUGGAAACGGUGGCUAUUACCCCACAUUGCAGCAUAACCCAUAUGGGAUUAGCUAGUAGGUAAGGUAAUGGCUUACCUAGGCGACGAUCCCUAGCUGGUCUGAGAGGAUGAUCAGCCACACUGGGACUGAGACACGGCCCAGACUCCUACGGAGGCAGCAGUGGGGAAUAUUGCACAAUGGGCGCAAGCCUGAUGCAGCCAUGCCGCGUGUAUGAAGAAGGCCCUAGGGUUGUAAAGUACUUUCAGUCGGGAGGCGUUACCGACAGAAGAAGCACCGGCUAACUCCGUGCCAGCAGCCGCGGUAAUAC
rnacentral:rRNA from 1 species